UACUUAUUAAUAUCAUCUUAAGUCACAUAUUUCUAUCGACACACUUUAUGCAAUCUUUACUUUGUUACAAAAAAAGAAAAAAAAUAUCAAAUUACAAUUCUAUCCUUCUUUUCUCUAAGCAAAAGAAAUCAUAUCUUCUCUCUUCUUCCCAGAUCUCGUCCUCCGUCUUCUAUUCCUCCUUCUCCUCAACUGUCUCCUCCUACACCUGUUAUUCCCUUCUACAUCUUCUAUUUGAACCCCAUCACCGUCAGUAUCAAAAUCACCAUUGAAUUUUUUAGGCAGCCACGGAAGAGAAUCCCCUCGAAUUCCAUCUUCGUUGUCUCUUUCUUCGGUGGGUUAUCAACAAGAGUGGUGGUUGGUAACUCCGUCGGAGGAGUCGAUUUGCCUGUGAUAGUGAUUCUGGUGACCUUUCUGUUGUGAUAUUGCGUGCCAGUCCUGGUCUAGCAGAUGCUGGGAUUAUGAUGUACGACCUUAUCACAACAGUUUCUGUAGUAUGCAAUGUUUAUGCUACAACAGCCACAUCAAUUCCUCUGAAUUAUUUCUUAAGCCAAAAAAUUACAUGUGUACACCAACAAGAACAAUUGUACAUAAUAAUGAUUGUACACAUAUACAAACAUAUAACUUGAGAAAAUGAACUGAUAUUGUUGGUCGCUAAGAAAGUAGUGUAAACUCCAAUGUACACAUGAACAAGUUAAAGUGGACAAUGGGUUAUGAAUACUAACUGAUAUGAAAAUAAAUAUCUAUGUAGACGUGCUCUUGUGUACAAGUUAUUAUGGACAAGCGUUUAUAAGCAGCAAGAGAAAUCUAUGUCCACAUGUACACAUGUAGUGUCCACAUGUACAUCUUUGAAACUCUAUCCACAUGUACACAAGAUCACAUAUAUCUACGUGUACACCAUGUAAACCUUGAAAUCUAGAGCAAGCAGCAUGAGGUAUGUUCUAAAUAUGUAAUUACGUGCUCGUAUUGAAUCAAACAUUGAUAUCAUUUUUCCAAUCUAGAGCAGGGAAUAAGAGGUACAAAAAAACUAUGUUCAUUCUUAGUCUUUUUUUUUUCAUUUCACAUCUUGAACAGGUCGUGUGAGAUGUGUAUCAUUUUGCAAAAUAUGAAUCUGCCACUCAGCUUCUUCUUCCUCUUCUCCACCUGUCUCCAGCAUCAGCUUCAAAUCAGUAGAAUAAACAGCAUCAGCUUCCUCUUGGUUAUGAGAGUUUAUUUCUGCAAGUUUGAAAAGUCAGGGGCGUAAGUGAAAGGAAUCAAAACUCAAGGGACUUGUUCUGCAAAUACUCUAAAGAUCUCCAUUGGAGGAGAUCGAGCUUUCUCUUCCUACGCGAUGCCGACGACGAGGAGCUGAGCACCGCGGAGAGCUGAGAUAUCCUGGAGGAGAAAGCCUGUGGUGGAUGGCUCCGAAUCAAUCUCGGAUUUGAACCACGAAGAGGAGGAGGGCGGUAGUGGUUCUGUCACGACAGAAGAGCGCGAGCUCGACCAAGACAAGACGGAGAGGCUUGCAGCAGCGACAACAGAGCACAGCAUGGGAGAGGAGACUUGACGCCAUGGAGAAGCUUGCUCCCGUGAAGGUUCGCGGAGAUGACGACUAGCAGUCAAAAAAAUUGUAAAAAAAAAAAUGGACUAAAGGUUAAGAGUGUAAUUGACCAUCAAAAAACUACCUCGGUAGUUGUAAGUGACCUAGAAUGUUAUUAGAUUCUUAAAAGUGACCCAUUGUGUUAAUUUCUCAUCCAAACACAUCAUAAAUAGUAUUAUAAUUUUUUUGAUA